rnacentral:rRNA from 1 species
GACGAACGCUGGCGGCGUGCUUAACACAUGCAAGUCGAGCGGAAAGGCCCUUUCGGGGGUACUCGAGCGGCGAACGGGUGAGUAACACGUGAGUAAUCUGCCCCUGGCUUUGGGAUAGCCACCGGAAACGGUGAUUAAUACCGGAUACGACCACUUCUCGCAUGGGAUGGUGGUGGAAAGGUUUUCGGCCAGGGAUGUGCUCGCGGCCUAUCAGCUUGAUGGUGGGGUAAUGGCUCACCAUGGCUUCGACGGGUAGCCGGCCUGAGAGGGUGACCGGGCACACUGGGACUGAAACACGGCCCAGACUCCUACGGGAGGCAGCAGUGGGGAAUAUUGGACAAUGGGCGGAAGCCUGAUCCAGCAACGCCGCGUGAGGGAUGACGGCCUUCGGGUUGUAAACCUCUUUCAGCAGGGACGAAGCGCAAGUGACGGUACCUGCAGAAGAAGCACCGGCCAACUACGUGCCAGCAGCCGCAGUAA